rnacentral:rRNA from 1 species
UACAGAGGUCCCAAGCGUUGUUCGGGUUCACUGGGCGUAAAGGGUGCGUAGGCGGUCGGGUAAGUCUGAUGUGAAAUCUCACAGCUUAACUGUGAAACUGCAUUGGAUACUAUCCGGCUAGAGGAAUGGAGGGGAGACUGGAAUACUUGGUGUAGCAGUGAAAUGCGUAGAUAUCAAGUGGAACACCAGUGGCGAAGGCGAGUCUCUGGACAUUUCCUGACGCUGAGGCACGAAAGCCAGGGGAGCAAACGGG